UUAGCUAGUUGCUCGCUGUUGACCUCCAGACCACCCGUUUUUCCACACAAAAGGGCUUUAUUAGACAGAAAUACUUGGUUUUGGUGGCUGGUCUCAAGACGAUCCUGCAGGUGAAGAAGGCAGAUGUGGAGGUCCUGGGCUGGCGUGGUUACACUUGGUCUGCAGUUGUGAGGAUGGUUGAGCAUACUGCCAAAUUCUUUCAAAUGAAAUUGGAGGCAGCUUAUGGUAGAGAAAUUAACAUUAAAAUUCUCUGGCAACAGCUCUGGUGGACAUUCCUGCAGUCAGAAUGCCAAUUGCGCGCUCCCUCAAUGUGACACAUCUGUACAUUUUAGAGUGGCCUUUUGUCCCCAGCACAAGGUGCACCUGUGUAAUGAUCAUACUGUUUAAUAAUCUUCUUGAUAUGUCUGGUGGAUGGAUUAUCUUGGCAAAGGAGAAAUGCUCACUAACAGGGAUGUAAAUAAAUGUGUGCACAAAUAAGCUUCUUGGGCGUAUGGAACAUUUCUGGGAUCUUUUAUUCAAACUCAUAAAACAUGGGACCAACACUUUACACGUUGCAUUAUAUUUAGUUCAGUAUAUGAAUUAUUAGUUUAUCAACACAUUAUUGUGUUUCUUCUAUCUCCUGCCCUGGUUGACCUCCAGACCACCCAGCAGCAACAAUGCCGCACGUUCGGUUUCACUAAACUAGCUACAGUAGCUGGAUAGGACAGCUAUGAGGCUAUUUAUAAUAUAAUUUCUAAUUUGUUGCCAAAUACUAGUCUCUACUCAGUUCAAACGGUAAUUUACCUUUGAAUUGGAUAAACGACCAACUACACCAUCAGAUGCCGUUUAUAUCUCUCCACGUUACAAAAACAAGAACAUGCAACAUUUCCGCCUACUCCAACAAGGACAUUGCUUGUUUAAGAAAAAAGACGGCGAAGCGAUGAUUGGUUUAUCGGGUUUGGCAGUCAUUAUGUGCUUCCGGUCUUGUUCGUUUGAAGGAUGCAUAUAAUUUGCGCCGCGCUGCACCAGAUUUUUUUUUACUGUUUUGAGUGACGCAAUAAUCAUUCUAUAAAACACUGUAAUCCAGAGCAAUUUAUAGUAGCAAUUAGACAUAUUGACAGAUAUUUCACCUAAUUCACCUUGAACCACCGGGCCUGCGGCAACUGACACAACGCUCUAACCGCUAAACUACCUCUCAUCAUCAAUACCCAAAUAAAUGUCCCAGACAAGCGUGACUCUGUUGAAAUACAACUAACUAUAAAAUAUAUAUAUUCAGGAACAGACUUACAUUGUUGUUUUUUGCUGCGUAGUAUAUAAAUCGGCGAAUGUGUUUAAGAUUUGUAGGUGAUCAAAGUCCAUGCAUUUUGAGCGUUCAUAAACUACGCCCGAAAGGUGGAAUUGAACCACUCUGCCGCUAAGCAGCUACAGGUUUGAAGCCUGCACACCGGACCACCGAGGC
ensembl:lncRNA